AUGGAUGGAUACACGUUAGGCCUG
rnacentral:siRNA from 1 species